CCGCCAAAACUUUCACUCCUUUUUCCAAGUCCGCUGAGGCCUUGUGACCCCACGGAUGCCCCACGUCUGCCCCCUGGCGGCCAUCCCGAGGGGCAGCGCCGGAAAUCUCCUUGCCGCCCGGGGUCCCCCGGUCGCCAGCGGUCAGCCCGCUGUGCACCCCAUCCUCGUGGGUUCGAAACAGUUGGGAGUUGGACCCACUCCAGCUUCGGCUCCAGGAGGCGCCUCCUGAGCGGUCUGCCCUCCUGGGGCCAUGGAGAAGGCCGCCCAUAAAAGCAAAAAAGGCAAAAACGUUGGCUUCAAUGUCAAGUCAUCCAUACACAACUUGAGCAAAACUCAGCAGACCAAACUUACUGUGGGCAACCUGGGCUUAGGCCUGAUCAUCAUCCAGAAUGGGCCCUACCUCCAGAUCACCCACCUCAUCAGGACGGGGGCUGCAGCCACGGAUGGAAAACUCCAGCCAGGUGAUGUUCUGAUUAGUGUUGGCCAUGCCAAUGUGUUAGGAUAUACUCUUCGAGAAUUUUUAAAACUUUUGCAAUACAUCACCAUAGGAACAGUGCUACAAAUCAAGAUUUAUCGAGAUUUUAUUGACAUACCCCAAGAAUGGCAAGAAAUAUAUGAUUUAAUCCCUGAGACCAAAUUCCCGGUAACACGCACAACAAAGAAAACUGAGCAGGCAAAAGACCCUUUAGCAAGCAGUGAUGACAGUGAAGAUGUAGUUUCAGAUAAAAAACUUAAGUAUUAUAAAUAUUCAAGGUCCAGUGGGCAUCACUCUGCAAGGAGACCAAUGUCUAUCUCCAGAGAAUGGCAUGGCUACAAAAAGAAGAACCGUACUAUUAGUGUAGGAAAAGGCAUUAAUGCUGAUGUGGUGAUUCACAGAGAUCCCAAGAGAGAAGUGAGGCCCCCUUCUCCAUACUGGACAAUGGUGAAGCGAGACAACCAAAGCUCUUCCUCAUCCACAGCCUCCUCUACCUCAGAUGCAUUUUGGCUAGAAGACUUUGCCCAAGUUGAAAAGGGCAGGGGCCAACCUGUAUCAAAAGUUGCUUAGGCAGCAGUCUGCAAACUGGUGAUCACAUGAGCAUCUAAUUUUUGUGCACUGCUAUGCACAGGUUUGCUAUACUUACAGGAGGAAUAUGUGUAGACUUACCCAUUCUUUCACAAGUGCAUUCUGAUGCCGUCAGAGACAUUCUUCAAUGUGAUAAUCCAAAGACUUCCCUGGGGUCAGACAGGCCUCACCACCUUAUUCUCAAAAUAGCAACAUCAUUAACACACUCCCUUCUGAGAAGAACAUCUCAUCUUUUACAAAAUGCGGCAGAGGAACCCAGGACCAGAAUGUAUGAACAUAGAGAGAAUUUCAAUUUUUAAGGUGGAGCUGUUGGGGAGAAGAUGGUGGAGACCUCUACCAUGCAAGAGGAGUCGACAUUUUUCAUGUGGAAAAAACUGGGAAAACCCACUGAUUGUAGAUUUGUUCUGUAGUUCAUAUAUUUGUUAGGCAUAGUAGAGAGUACAAAAAGGUAUAAGAUACGGUCCUGGCCCUUAAAACAAUUCAGUCUCACAAUAAUAUAUGUG